GUGAACCUGCUGCUGGAUCAUUACAUGUGAUUCUCACAUUCACCACCUACCUGCCUGCUAGUCCAGUCUCUGUGCGCUCAUUUCCUCCAUCCGCCUCUGAUGGGGAGAAAAGUCCAGGCCAUUGGCCGACAGAUGACAGGAUUGCAUGCGCCCUGAGGGCAAGCUGAUGUGUUGUCGAUACAGAUGGCGAACUCAUCCUUCACACACCCCGUUUAAAGGCAAUAAUGCCGGAAGCGAUGAGUCCAGGCAAAUUAGCUGCGCUGAAUCGAUGGCACGCCCUCAGGACACCCAACGGCUGUGCUGGCGUCUCUGCGUCUUUGAGCAGUUGUUGCGCACUUACGAUGCAAAUGUCGAAUGUGUGCUACGUCCGUGGCUGUGAUGAGAUGACGCGGUAGGGCCCUUGUCUUGCUUCUCUGACAUGCGGCUUAAGACUCAAUGAGCGCCCUGGUUUGGCGCCGCCAGCAUUAUUUUUUCAUUAAAAACUUUUUAACCAAAAAAACAACAUUCUAGUCUUAUCGGUGGAUCACUCGGCUCGUGGGUCGAUGAAGAACGCAGCCAACUGCGAUAAGUAGUGUGAACUGCAGAAACCUUGAACACAAAACUUUCGAAUGCACAUUGCGCCACCGGAGUAACAUCGGGUGGCACGUCUGGUUCAGGGUCGACAUACAAACAUGCACUGCAUUUGUGUGCGGAAUUGUGGGAUCAACAGGAAAUGAUGCCGCAUUUGUUUGAAAUGGCACCUUGCUAGGGACAAAAAGUCCAACAUGUGAUUGUGAAAUGUUUUAAUCCAUGUUUUACAACCUGUGAACCUGGGACAAACUUGACUCUCUUAAGGUAGCCAAAUGCAUCGCCAUCCAAUUAGUGGAGCGCGUGGUGUACCAAAGGUGAUAAACAAUUUUGACCUGAACUCAAACGUGAUUACCCGCUGAACUUAAG
rnacentral:rRNA from 1 species